rnacentral:rRNA from 1 species
AACGAACGCUGGCGGCAGGCUUAACACAUGCAAGUCGAACGCUCGUAGCAAUACGGGAGUGGCGGACGGGUGAGUAACGCGUGGGAACGUGCCCUGAGGUACGGAAUAACUGCGGGAAACUGCAGCUAAUACCGUAUGAGCCCCGUGAGGGGGAAAGAUUUAUCGCCUUAGGAGCGGCCCGCGUCGGAUUAGCUAGUUGGUGGGGUAACGGCUUACCAAGGCUUCGAUCCGUAGCUGGUCUGAGAGGACGAUCAGCCACACUGGGACUGAGACACGGCCCAGACUCCUACGGGAGGCAGCAGUGGGGAAUCUUGCGCAAUGGGGGCAACCCUGACGCAGCCAUGCCGCGUGAAUGAUGAAGGCCUUAGGGUUGUAAAGUUCUUUUGCCCGUGACGAUGAUGACGGUAACGGGAGAAUAAGCUCCGGCUAACUUCGUGCCAGCAGCCGCGGUAAGCUGUAGUCGU